rnacentral:rRNA from 1 species
GACGAACGCUGGCGGCGUGCUUAACACAUGCAAGUCGAACGGAAAGGCCCUGCUUUUGUGGUGUGCUCGAUUGGCGAACGGGUGAGUAACACGUGAGUAACCUGCCCUUGACUUUGGGAUAACUUCAGGAAACUGGGGCUAAUACCGGAUAGAAGCUCCUGCUGCAUGGUGGGGGUUGGAAAGUUUCGGCGGUUGGGGAUGGACUCGCGGCUUAUCAGCUUGUUGGUGGGGUAGUGGCUUACCAAGGCUUUGACGGGUAGCCGGCCUGAGAGGGUGACCGGCCACAUUGGGACUGAGAUACGGACCAGAAUCCUACGGGAGGCAGCAGUGGAGAGUAUUGCACAAUGGGCGGAAGCCUGAUGCAGCAACGCUCCGUGCGGGAUGACGGCCUUCGGGUUGUAAACCGAUUUCGACUGUGACGAAGCGUGAGUGACGGUAAUGGGUAAAGAAGCACCGGCUAACUACGUG